rnacentral:rRNA from 1 species
CCUACGGGGGGCUGCAGUGAGGAAUAUUGGUCAAUGGACGAGAGUCUGAACCAGCCAAGUAGCGUGAAGGAUGACUGCCCUAUGGGUUGUAAACUUCUUUUAUAUGGGAAUAAAAUGUUCCACGUGUGGGAUUUUGUAUGUACCAUAUGAAUAAGGAUCGGCUAACUCCGUGCCAGCAGCCGCGGUAAUACGGAGGAUCCGAGCGUUAGCCGGAUUUAUUGGGUUUAAAGGGAGCGUAGGUGGAUUGUUAAGUCAGUUGUGAAAGUUUGCGGCUCAACCGUAAAAUUGCAGUUGAAACUGGCAGUCUUGAGUACAGUAGAGGUGGGCGGAAUUCGUGGUGUAGCGGUGAAAUGCUUAGAUAUCACGAAGAACUCCGAUUGCGAAGGCAGUUCACUGGACUGCAACUGACACUGAGGCUCGAAAGUGUGGGUAUCAAACAGGAUUAGAUACCCUAGUAGUC